GACGAACGCUGGCGGCGUGCUUACACAUGCAAGUCGAACGGUGAAGGUGGAGCUUGCUCCGCCGGAUCAGUGGCGAACGGGUGAGUAACACGUGGGCAACCUGCCCCUAACUUUGGGAUAACUACUCGAAAGAGUAGCUAAUACCGGAUAUGAAGUCUGUAGGCAUCUAUGGAUUUGGAAAGUUUUUCGGUUAGGGAUGGGCCCGCGGCCUAUCAGCUUGUUGGGGAGGUAGUGGCUCACCAAGGCGACGACGGGUAGCCGGCCUGAGAGGGGGACCGGCAACACUGGGACUGAGACACGGCCCAGACUCCUACGGGAGGCAGCAGUGGGGAAUAUUGCGCAAUGGGCGAAAGCCUGACGCAGCAACGCCGCGUGCGGGAUGAAGGCCUUCGGGUUGUAAACCGCUUUCAGCAGGGAAGAAGCGAAAGUGACGGUACCUGCAGAAGAAGCACCGGCUAACUACGUGCCAGCAGCCGCAGUAA
rnacentral:rRNA from 1 species